AGGGGACGGGGACAGCUCCGAGCGGGCCGGAGCGAGCGGCAGAAAUGGGGGGAAUCGGUGUCCCGAUGAAUAGAUCCGAGUUGCCGGGGAGGGCUCGGUGUGCCGGCAGAGGGAAAGCUGGUUAAAGGAUAAAGAUGCAGAAGAAUAAGUGUUGUAAACCCCCCUCGCUCUCUGACUGAGCAAACCUUCCAGUAAUCCCAGUGCAUCUCUCUGAGAGACUCUGGGAUCAUAAGGUCUUCCAGGAAAGCAAAACAAGCACAGAGAUGAGGGAAUAGGCUGCCGGUUAAUGAUGACUUGAUGGGUGUAGGAAUGAUCUUUGUAUGUUUCACGCUCCUCUUUUAAAUCCUGGUAUAAUUUAAAAAUGAUUCCUUUAACAAACGAUCUAAAUUUGAGAAUUUAAAUUUGAGAGGAAAUGGUGCAAAAUAAAUGCAUGGUGAGAUCAUGGAAUCCCAAAAUGGUUUGAGUGGGAAGGGACUUUAAGGAUCACCUCAUUCCAUCCCCUGCCAUUCCAACCACAGCCCAGGGUGCUCCAAGCCCCCUCCAGCCUGGCCUUGGACACUUCCAGGGAUGGAGCAGCCACAAUUUCUCUGGGUUGAUGGGCACAGGAGGAAAUUUCCAGCAGGAGCUGAGGCGUUUCCUUUGCUCUGCCCAGCCCCAGCAGGGCUGUGGGAGGCAGAGGAUGUGGGAGCAGGAGCUUUGCCCCCGGCCUCGGGGGAGGCUCUGCUGUCCCAGCCCCAGCAGAGCAAACGUUUGUGGUUUCACAUCCCGUUCAAAGGAGCUGCCAAGGCAGGAACGGGGAUGGGCCAGGGAGCAGGGAUGGUGCCAGGCACAGGUGACAUCCAGAGGGUGCCACCAGUCCGUCCCUGCUGCCCAGGCUGGGCACCAGCAGGCUGGUGACUGUCCCUGAGUUUGCUCUGCAGGAUGAGGAAGCCACCCUGGUGAGGAGGAAGAGGAGGUGUGGGAGGAUGGAGACAGCGGCCACCAAAGGCUGGGGAAGGCCCAGGUCCAUGUAGGAGUUGCUGCCUUCCAAGGAGAGGGACUUGUCUGUCCCAUUGGAAUUUGGAGUGUGAGGCCAAUGGAACAAAGGAUUUGAUUACAUUUUCCUACUCAGGUUCUCAUUUGUCUUAGGAGGUAUUUGUGGAAAUGUAAUUUUAGUGAGUUUGCACCAGGUUUGAAGGAAUGUGACCCCUGGGGCAGAAAUCCCUGCACAGCUUCUGUGUCCCCCCAUGGCUCAUCUGAACAGUCCAUGGGCUGGGCCUCCUUCUUCAGGCUCUGGAUGAAAUCCUUCCUUUCCCAAGGGAGGGGAAAGCAAGCAGGAUGGGAACCAGAGGUGGUGCUUUAGGAAAGCCCCUCCAGCCUGGGAAGGAGCUUUUGGCUCCAGACACGUUCCCAGUGCCCAGGAGCAGCAGGACCUGUGCUGUUCCCAGCAGGUGAGGCAGAGGUGCCUUUCCUUCCUUCCCUGCUGCACUUUGGCUUUUUGAGGAGUCUCUGGGGGUCUGAGGGAGAAGUUCUUUGUCACUCCAGGGCAGAAUUAGCCCUGGUCCCACUAAAAGCAGGAGGAAUCAUUUUAUCCUUGCUUUUGGAUACACAUUUUGUGAUUUCUCUCUGUUGCUGACACCGUGUGGUGAAGCAGCACCUCCCACAUUUUCAGUGCUGCUCCCAGAUUUGUUCAUAGCUGGUAAAAAGAAACAGUAAUUUGCUUUCCUGUGGUAAUUGGAUUAAGGACAAGGCCUCCCUCUUUGUUUAAUAUUCCAGAGAAAAGCUGCCAAGUAAUAAAGCAAGAGCUUCCCCUGGUGAAACCCUUCCCAGUCCCACGCUGGGUUUGCACACACACAAGGCUCCAUCCCUGCUGGAAUCCCAGUCACAGCCCCCAGAUCAAUGGGCCCUUUAAGGUCUCACAGCCUGACCAGGACAAUCUCCUGCCUCUGGACAUGGAAAAUCAGUUUUUCAUUGUUACAGCACCGGCUCCAGGUAAUUAUGAAGUGGUGUAGUGGUUUUUAAGUUGUGCACAUGGAGGAAAUUCACUGGGGCAGCCAACACUGCUCUGCCUUCAUGGGCAAUCCUCUGGGUUUGGAAUCUCAAUUUGUGGGUGUGAAAUCUCCUCACAGAAUCCUCUGAGGCUGAAACAAAGACAUGGAACCUUCUGAGAUGGAAAGAGCCAAAGUGAGUUGUUGUGGGAAAGGAAAAUUAAAGAUGGUAGGUGCUGAAACCUUUGUUCUUCCUGACCUCUGUACUUGACCUCUGUACCUGGGAAUGGGUCUGGAAAUUUCCUGGAGACGCUGGAGAAUGAUCCCUGGUCUGCUGAAACGUGGGAAAAUCCCACUGGCAAUUGCAGUCUCUGAGGGAGGGCAAAAAGAGCAGGACCUCAGUCUGUGAGUGUGUGAGAAAUAAGGGAGGGACAAAUGUCUGGAUCAUCCUGAGCCUCAGGGCACCAGGAAAAGCCCUUGACUGAAAAACUGAAGUGCUGUUCCACAGGCACCCUGGGAAUUUGGCUCAUCCCAGCUUCUCUUCCAGAGCUGGAGGAACGCCCCACAGUGCUGUUUGAGACCUUCCUGACUGGAAUUGGGGCCAGCUGGGCACUUUCCUGUUUUCCUGUAGGAUGUGGGCUGUGACAUGAAUUGGCUCCAACAGGGCCCUGGAGUCUGUGGACAGCUCCCAGAUCUAGACAGGGAAGGGGACCUUCACCCACACUCCCAAAAGCUGAGGAGGAAAAACACCUGCCUGCAGCUGGCUGCAGCUCCUGCAGCUCUGGGCUUUCUGGCACACUCAGGGACAUGGGAUAAUGCCAGAAUAAUUCAAACCUUGGGAAUAAUGGAAUUAAUACCACCCCUUGAGCCCAUCAGCCACUGGCUGCAGAUGGCUGUGGAAGUGAUGGAGGCAUUCAGGGAAUGCUGAUUGUUUUUCCCUCCCUUUGGCAAUCUGGUCAGCAAAAAUACUAAUUGAGCUCUUCCAGCAGGGAAACAUUUAAGCAAGAGGUGCUGAAAAGAAUUGGAGUUUCUGAUUUUAAGUCUCCAACUUAAAAUCCUCUUUGGAUUGUCACUGGUCCAAUUUUCAUGGACUGGUCAUAGUGGCCAGGAGUGCCCAAUCCUGCUGGAAAUGCACUGGACCAGGAUGUCAUUUUCACUUUAUACAGCACAGGAGCCGUUCCCCUGCCCAGAGGAGCAGCCAGUGCCUCCCUUAGUCCACAAAUCCCCAGGACUGACCACAGAGGAAAUAACAGGAAUGUGGAAAUCCCCCACACUGGGAGUUGGUGGUGCUCUGGAUUACAUUUUGGAUUUAUACUGUUAAAGGGGGGCUGUGGAAUGGCUUCUCUCCUUUUUAUUGUCACUGUUGUCACUGCUUUUGUUGCUAUCACUGUUAUAUGCUGUCAUCAAUAUUAAAUUAUUAUAUUUGUCUUGGUUUCCAUUAUUAAAGUGUUCUGAGCUGGA